rnacentral:rRNA from 1 species
GAUGAACGCUGGCGGCGUGCCUAAUACAUGCAAGUCGAGCGAACAGACGAGAAGCUUGCUUCUCUGAUGUUAGCGGCGGACGGGUGAGUAACACGUGGAUAACCUACCUAUAAGACUGGGAUAACUUCGGGAAACCGGAGCUAAUACCGGAUAACAUUUUGAACCGCAUGGUUCAACAGUGAAAGACGGUCUUGCUGUCACUUAUAGAUGGAUCCGCGCCGCAUUAGCUAGUUGGUAAGGUAACGGCUUACCAAGGCAACGAUGCGUAGCCGACCUGAGAGGGUGAUCGGCCACACUGGAACUGAGACACGGUCCAGACUCCUACGGGAGGCAGCAGUAGGGAAUCUUCCGCAAUGGGCGAAAGCCUGACGGAGCAACGCCGCGUGAGUGAAGAAGGUCUUCGGAUCGUAAAACUCUGUUAUUAGGGAAGAACAAAUGUGUAAGUAACUAUGCACGUCUUGACGGUACCUAAUCAGAAAGCCACGGCUAACUACGUG